rnacentral:lncRNA from 1 species
UAAUGACAAUUCACUAUUACAGUUCUCUCACCUUCUUGUGAAUAAUCUGUGUUGGGAGUCACCAACCUUGCAUCUUUUAAGUAACUGCUGGAUUUAUUAAUUUCUGCAGUACCAUCAGGAAUGUGGUGAUGCUUUUGCUUUACUAAUUUUAAAACAUGGAUCCAGAGAUCUUCUCUGGAAAAUAAUAAUCUAUAUUUAUGCAACCUCUCACUUGUGGUUAUCAUGCCUAGAAAGGCAUGCAGGCCCAUCACAUUUCUAAAAGGCUGUUACUGUUAGUGAACCA